AGAGAGAGACAUGCGCGCAUAUCAAUAAGCGGAGGAAAAGAAACUAACAAGGAUUCCCCUAGUAACGGCGAGUGAAGCGGGAAAGGCUCAAAUUUGAAAUCUUAAAGGGUUUCCCUUUACGAAUCUGUAGUUUAAAGAAGUGUUUUCUGUUGAGGUUUUGGUAAAAGUUCUUUGGAAUAGGACAUCAUAGAGGGUGAGAAUCCCGUAUUUGACCUUUACUUUCAACUUUGUGAUACACUUUCAAAGAGUCGGAUUGUUUGGGAAUGCAGUCCAAAAUGGGUGGUAAAUUUCAUCUAAAGCUAAAUAUUGGCGAGAGACCGAUAGCGAACAAGUACCGUGAGGGAAAGAUGAAAAGAACUUUGAAAAGAGAGUUAAACAGUACGUGAAAUUGUCAAAAGGGAAGCGUUUGACACCAGUGUUGUUUUUCUGAAAAUCAAUUAAAGAACUGUUUAUGCUAAGUUGCUUAGACUUUAUCAGCUAUCUGUUUAGUUUUGAGCUCUUCUUUAAUGCAGCUUUUCAGUUAACAAGUCAACAUCAAUUUCUUUUGCUGUAAAAAAGCUUGAGGAAGGUGGCUUGAGAUUCGUCUUAAGUGUUUAUAGCCUCUUGCCUAUGCAGUCGGAGAGAUUGAGGUCUGCAGCGUAGAUCCUUCGGGGCUAAAUGCAUUUGUGCUAAGUUAUAGCAUUUUAUAGACAACUUGUUGACUAUGAUUUGUCUUGUAGCUUACUCGCUUAUGUUAUUUUACCUACGCUUAGGAUGUUGACGCAUGAGAUAUACGC
rnacentral:rRNA from 1 species